rnacentral:rRNA from 1 species
CCCUUAGAUGUUCUGGGCCGCACGCGUGCUACACUGAGUGGAUCAGCGGGUCAGGUUGCGCGAAAGUGUUUCCUAAUCUUGAAAUCCGCUCGUGAUGGGGAUUGACGGUUGCAAUUUUCCGUCAUGAACGAGGAAUACCUUGUAAGCGCGGGUCAUCAUCCCGCGCUUAAUACGUCCCUGCCCUUUGUACACACCGCCCGUCGCUCCUACCGAUUGAGUGGUCCGGUGAGGCUUUGGGAUCUGAGCGGAAAGAGCGUUUCGCUGUUUCUGCUCGGAAAACUCAGCCGAACCUUAUCAUUUAGAGGAAGGAGAAGUCGUAACA